rnacentral:telomerase_RNA from 1 species
AAUGGGGUGGGGCCCAGGAGGUGUGUCUGCUUAUUACCAAUCUAAACCCUAACCAAUCCCUGUAUACUUGUGGGUCUCAAGCUAUUGGGGGUUUUUCCGGCGUUUCCCCCGAAUAAUAAUAUGAAAAAACACUCCGAGGCUAAGCGACUCAUCUCCAUUGGUUUGGGCGGGUUGGUUUGUUAGGUGGUUCUGUUGAAAUUAGAAUAGUCUUUGCGGUCAACCGUUUCCUCGCCUUCCUCCCACCCCCAAAUUUUG